rnacentral:tRNA from 1 species
GCUGGUGUGGCUCAGUAGAUAGAGCAUCAGCCUGCAGACUGAAGGGUCCCGGGUUCGAAUUCCGGUCAAGGGCA